CAUAGCUGAAAAAAUAAUACAUACAUGGUACAAUCAAGAUGAGGUACAAAAUACAAGGAGUAUAUACUUUGAUCGUCAACUCAUAAUACAAGUAUUUGCUAUAAAGUUUCAGAUGAAUACAAUGUAAAGGGAGUCAGCCACUACUCGCGAACCCCACGAAAUCAUCAAUCUUGUGGACUGGAUUAAGAGUAUUAUGGACAUCUCCACUCCGGAAACCCGUACGUGGAAAAAGCUUUUCGAGGAUCGAAAUAUGAUCCCUAUCAACCACAGUAAGUAAACCUCUUCUUUUUUUCUUCUGGGUACCCCUUACACCAAAAAGAAUUCACCAUAAAGUUUUACCACGUUUGCCCGAAUUUGCUCCUUUUGUACCUCUCACCGAGGUGCUGGAUGAUGCGGUCGAAGCACUCCGGACAUCCAAAAAGCGAAAGAAUGAAAACGUCUCUACAAGGGUUCUUCAUCAAGUCCCCGUUCCAGUGCUAAACGGACCUAAAAAAUCAUUCGAACAGGCCCCGUGGGGACCAAUUGGAACCCUCUCCAUGCUUUCAACGUAUCUACUCCAACCACCGGAUCUUCUCUUGUGGUGGAUUUAGACAGAGAGGGGCCUAAGGAUAAAGAUCAGCCCCUGGAAAGAAAGAGAAGGGCCGAAGAGUCUUUGCUAUUUGCACAGAUGGAUGUUGUGGGCCACAGGGCCUCUCGGACGAGAGCUUUAUUCACCCAUGUUUUCUCCGUUGCCACUAUCCUAAAUACUCCACCGUCUUCUUCAGUUGCCUGCAUUCCUUCUGUUAUACCGGAUUCUGAGGAUUCAGUAUCAGCAACCAACCCAGCUAUUCAAACUCUCCCAACCUCGGAUCAACAAAGGAGAUCACCCUCCCCAGAUCACCAUCCUUCCCCUCAAAGUGAAGAGCUGGUGAAUGAGUAUCCGACUCUGACCGAAAAACCAACGAGUUCAGGAUCGUCACUCUCCAGAUUUUGGCCGAGUGCCAUUUGCUAUCCAAGCCCGUGAGAGUGGCCAACUAUAUGAAGCAUGUGGCUUCGGAGAAGGACCGAAGGAAGACGCGUGCAGUCUCUUCAGAGUGCAUUAGUAACGUCAGUACGUACGCCGCCGCUCGAUCCAACUUCCUCUGAAACGAAGGGCUUCAGAGGAUAAUUGAGGAGAGGGUAGCAUUUGCCUUCGAUAAGGACUCUGCCAGGGAGCUGAUGAUAGUGGUGGAAACUAAGCUUGCUAGAGUUAACGAGUUGGAAGUAAACUUGCGCAAUUGGAAGUAGAUAAAGAGGCUUAUAGUCAGCAAGCCAGCAUCCCCCAAUACCGGGUGGAGGAUUUGAAAAAGAAACGGAAUGAGGAUAAUGAUUUUGUGGCUGAGCUAACAGUGCGCCUGUCCGGUCUCGAAGCUGAUGUGCAAUCCCUAGAUGAUUACCUCCGAAUCAAAAGUGCCGAAGUAGAAGCUGUUCGGAAGGAGAACGAAUCAUUGAGGUCCCGGAUGGAUGUCAUAGCUGCCUAAAAUAAAAAGCAUCAAGAUGCAAAUGUGGAGCUUUCCAGGACCAACGAUGUUCUCCACUAAACCAAUGACAACCUCAUCCAUGCUGCCGAAAUCGCUGAAGCCAAGAUCCAAUCCAAUAUUGAUAGUCACAAUUUGGCUGUGAUGCAUAAUGGCUAUAAAAUAAAGAGAAAGACCCUUGAAGCAGUGAAAGAGGGGAGCAUCGUUGAUAUUGAUGCCGAAAUUGAUCAAGCCUCGAGGUUGGAACUUGAAUCAAUGGAGACCCCCGAAGAGCCCUUUCCAGAAAAGGAAGAGGAUAAUGAUGCUUUAACUGAUGGCAACAUCCUUCCCCUGGUCGAGCUCCAUGAAAAUCCGUCUGCUACUGGCGAUGCUCCCGAAGCCCUCGCGUCUCCUCAGCUUCCUUGUUAUAACCCGUAUUUUAUACAUUCGGAUAUUUCAAGAUAGUCGUGGUGAGUUGAGGGCAAGACUAUUUUCCAAAGUUAUUUAAUAUACAAGUUGCUCAUUAGUAUGGAAAUGUUGAGAAAGGCUAAGGGUAAAAAGGGAAAUUCACAAGGUGGUUUAUGGUAAUAUUGUGGAAGGCUAGGGGCAAAAUGGGAAAUGCAAAAAAAAAAAAAGAGUUCAUGAUAAGGCACAUGGCCGUGUGGUCCCCAGCCAUGGCUUGGCCAAUCGCCUCAAGCCAUGAGGUGAGGCUUGUGUCCAUUAUGUGUAGGCCAUGUGUAUAUAUAUAUAUAUAUAGGUGGGUGAUGACCAAGCAAGAUUAUUAGUCAUCUUUUCCAACUCAAGAAAUUUGGAGAAACUUCAAGAAAAAGAAAGAGCCAUAUUCGGCCAUGGCUAGAGGAAAAUGAUGCCAUAGGAUUGAUCAAGAAAAAUAAUUUUCUUCUAGUAUUCCAAGCAAUUGGAACGUCCCUAACAACGUGGAGUAGUGGUUGGCUCAAGCAAAGCAUUCAUUUGUGCAAUUUACCAACCCUAAUCAAGUUGAGAAGUGAAAGAGUAAGGAUCUUGGAAAAGCCGCGACCUAAGUUCGGAUUAGCUUAGGAAGUGGACAAGGUGUAUACAGAUGAGUGGAAGACAUUGGCUAUAGGAUGUUCUCAUGCUACCAGCUGGUUUGGCGAGCUCCAUCUCAGUUCGGAGUGUUGCCGGGUCAAAGUACUUAUGUCAUGGUAUCUUGUAUAUGUUAGAGACUUUGCAGACAGUGUCCUGUGGAUAGGGCGUCGAGAAGUGCGAAUCAUUUGUAGAUUUUAAAAGAGUAUGUAUUUUAGACGAUUUCAAUUGGUUUAAAGUACUCAAUUGAUUGAAAGUUUUCAAAAUCAUUAUAAAGAUAAUGAUCUCUAUGUGAAAAAGUUCCACGUUUUAAAAGUUUUUGAAAUGACAGGUUUUGAUAGAGCGAAUGUCUAAGGGUUCGCUCGACUCUGAUGAGAGUCGGGUGCCCGUCAUGCCCUAUCAAGAUUAGGGUGUGACAUUCCUACCUCAGCCUCACUCCUUGAAAAAGCAUUUUUUUGCUCUUUGGUUUUGUAAUGCCCCCCGCUAGGUCACUUUUGGGCCCGAACUAUUAUAAUGAAGUA